AAAAAAAAAGAAACACGAACACAUCUGUCUUUCUCUAAUAAAACCUUCUCUCCUCAGAGACAGACAGAGAAAGAGAAAGAGAGGAAGAAGAAGAUGAAAGAGAUGUAAAUUUUUCUGUUUUGUUCUGUAAAUAAAUGCUUCUUCCUUCCUUAUGGGACAACAAAAUAAAUAGAGGGAGAAAAAGAGGAAGUGCCGCAAACUGCACAGGAAAUAACAAAGCGAAAAAGAAAAAAACUGAUUUCUUUUUGUGCAGCCAUUGUCUCGAUCUUUCUUCUCCCUUUUCUGUCUUUUGUGUCGGUUCAAGAAUUGGGUUUUCCUUACAGUUGGAUUUGUUAGAGUUCAAAUUGAAUUUUGAGCUCUUUCUUUUGGGAAAAAAAAAAAGAAAGUGCUUGAUUUUAUUUAGCUGAAGAGGUUUCCAAAUUGGGUUUCUGAUGUUCUGUGUCUCAUACUGAUUGGAAGCUGUCCCCACUCAUGACAAUUGUUGCACUAGCUUCCUGAAUUUAAACCCACAACCAAAAAAAAUAAUACCGGGAUGUUUUAAGAUUUAUAUGACUGGUGUUGUUGAACUGUUUCAUUCCCAAUUUUGGCCUUUGGAGAAGAAAGUUACAAAAGCAACUUUCUCUUGGUGGGUUGGAAGUUAAUCAGCUCUUUGAAUUGAAUUGAGUGUUCAUUUGGUUUAUUAGAAAGGUGUGGGUGGUUUGCAUGUAUGUUGUGUAUUAGGUUUGCAUAAUCUUGAAUAGAUUUUGUUGUUUGAAGAAGAUGGCUUCAGCGUUAAGGAUGGGAAUAGAUGAAGGAAGUGGGGAUGAAACUAAAGGAGGGAUGUGGGAAUUAGACCAAAAGCUUGAUCAGCCUAUGGAUGAGGAGGCUGGUAGACUCAAAAAUAUGUAUAGAGAAAAGAAAUUCUCGGCAUUGUUGCUUCUGCGGCUUGCUUUUCAGAGUCUAGGAGUGGUUUAUGGAGACUUGGGAACUUCUCCUUUGUAUGUGUUCUACAAUACAUUUCCCCAUGGAAUUGAUGAUACAGAGGAUGUCAUUGGCGCCCUUUCAUUAAUUAUAUAUUCCCUCACACUUAUCCCUCUCCUCAAGUAUGUUUUUAUUGUUUGUAGAGCGAAUGACAAUGGCCAAGGUGGGACUUUUGCUCUUUAUUCUUUACUAUGUCGCCAUGCUAAGAUAAAGACAAUUCCCAACCAACAUCGGACAGAUGAGGAGCUGACAACUUAUAGCCGUAGCAUAUUCCAUGAGCAUUCAUUUGCUGCAAAAACAAAGCGAUGGUUGGAGGCAUAUCCAUUCAGGAAGAAUGCACUUCUUAUUAUUGUAAUUGUUGGCACUUGCACGGUAAUAGGUGAUGGAAUUCUCACUCCGGCUAUAUCAGUUCUUUCAGCUACUGGUGGGAUCAAGGUGGAUCAUCCAAAGAUGAGUAAUGACGUAGUGGUGGUUGUUGCUGUCAUUAUAUUGGUUGGUCUGUUUAGCUUACAACACUAUGGCACAGACAGGGUUGGUUGGCUGUUUGCUCCCAUUGUGCUGCUUUGGUUUCUAUUAGUAGGAGGUAUCGGCAUCUUCAACAUCUGGAAGUACGAUAGCUCUGUUUUGAGGGCUUUUUCUCCCGUGUACAUAUAUAGGUAUUUUAGGAGGAGAAAGCAAGAGGGUUGGACAUCUCUGGGAGGAAUAAUGCUCAGUAUUACAGGGACAGAGGCACUUUUUGCUGAUCUUGCUCAUUUUCCAGUGUCAGCAAUACAGCUUGCUUUCACAGUCAUUGUUUUCCCAUGCCUUCUUUUAACCUAUACGGGGCAAGCAGCAUACCUCAUGCAAAAUAAGGAACAUGUUGUCGAUGCAUUCUACCGUUCUAUUCCAGAGAAAGCAUAUUACUGGCCAGUUUUUGUCAUUGCAACUUUAGCUGCUAUCGUUGCAAGUCAAGCAACCAUUUCUGCUUACAUUUUCGAUAAUCAAGCAAGCUCUGGCACUAGGCUGUUUUCCAAGAGUUAAGGUUGUACAUACGUCAAAGAAGUUCCUUGGGCAGAUUUAUAUUCCUGAUAUAAAUUGGAUACUUAUGAUUCUUUGCAUCGGUGUCACUGCUGGAUUCAGAAAUCAAAGUCAAAUUGGCAACGCAUACGGAACGGCAGUCGUGAUAGUCAUGUUGGUGACCACGCUCCUCAUGACCUUGAUAAUGUUACUAGUUUGGCGCUGCCAUUGGGUUCUUGUCCUUAUCUUCACUGUCUUAUCUGUGGUGGUUGAAUGUACCUACUUCUCUGCUGUGUUAUUUAAGGUUGAUCAGGGUGGUUGGGUUCCGCUUGUGAUUGCUGCAGCUUUUCUUGUCAUCAUGUAUGUCUGGCAUUAUGGAACUGUGAAACGAUAUGCAUUUGAGAUGCACAGCAAGGUGUCAAUGGCAUGGAUUCUUGGGCUGGGCCCCAGUUUAGGACUUGUACGUGUACCGGGGAUAGGACUUGUCUACACCGAGCUGGCUAGUGGGGUGCCACACAUCUUUUCUCACUUCAUUACAAAUCUGCCAGCUAUACAUUCAGUUGUGGUAUUUGUCUGUGUGAAGUAUCUUCCAGUUUACACAGUUCCAGAAGAUGAGAGGUUCCUCGUGAAACGCAUAGGACCCAAGUCUUUUCACAUGUUCCGCUGUGUUGCAAGGUAUGGUUACAAAGACCUCCAUAAGAAAGAUGAGGAGUUCGAGAGAAAGCUAUUUGAUAACCUCUUCCUUUUUGUUCGGCUGGAGAAUAUGAUGGAAGGCUGCUCUGACUCCGACGAAUACAGCUUAUACGGACAGCAAACACAGAAUUCAAUGGAUUAUUUAGUGCGAAAUAGCGGCAACUCAACUACAGGAAAUAAUGACUUUACAUGUUCGACGGUGGAAUCAAUAGUACCUGUGAAAUCUCCCACUCAAGGAAGCAAUACAGUCACAUCAUCGUUGGGCCGUGAGAGCAGCCAGGCAGAAGUGGACGAAAUGGAAUUCUUAAAUCGUUGUCGAGAUGCUGGGGUUGUACACAUUCUUGGAAACACUGUAGUUAGAGCAAGGAGAGACUCUAGGUUCUAUAAGAAAAUUGCUAUUGACUAUAUAUAUGCGUUUCUUAGGAGAAUUUGCAGGGAAAAUAGUGUGAUCUUCAACGUACCUCAUGAGAGCCUCUUGAACGUUGGACAAAUUUUCUAUGUAUAAAUAUUUUCGCAAAUGAUCAAUCGAAGAUAUUAUGGUCAUCAGUUGGCUAGCGACGGAUCAAAUGGUUUUGGGGAUCUUUACAAAUUUGUUUUUAGUUUUAUGAUCCUAACACUUUUUUAUCAUAUAGGAGAUUUACUUUUACACAUAAGAGAUCUAUUAUUUUGCCCAUAAGACUUUUUAAAUUUCAACAUUGUAAAUGCCCAUGAAGGCCUAUUUCCUUAGCAAAGCAUUGCACAUUCCAGUAAAAUGUGA